CCCUACGGGGCGCAGCAGUAGGGAAUCUUCCACAAUGGGCGAAAGCCUGAUGGAGCAACGCCGCGGGGAUGAAGAAGGUCUUCGGAUCGUAAAACCCUUUUGUUAGAGAAGAAAGUGCGUGAGAGUAACUGUUCACGUUUCGACGGUAACUAACCAGAAAGCCACGGCUAACUACGUGCCAGGAGGCGCGGGAAUACGAAGGGGGGAAGGGGUAUCCGGGAUUAUUGGGCGUAAAGG
rnacentral:rRNA from 1 species